UACGUAGGGGGCAAGCGUUGUCCGGAUUUAUUGGGCGUAAAGGGCGCGUAGGCGGCCACGCACGUCCGUUGUGAAAUCGCCCGGCUCAACUGGGCGGGGUCAGCGGAUACGGUGUGGCUAGAGCAAGCUAGGGGGCAAUGGAAUUCCCGGUGUAGUGGUGGAAUGCGUAGAUAUCGGGAGGAACACCAGUGGCGAAGGCGGUUGCCUGGAGCUUUGCUGACGCUGAUGCGCGAAAGCGUGGGGAGCGAGUCCGG
rnacentral:rRNA from 1 species